UUGGCAUGAUGAGGAAAACCGAUGUUUUUGGAUCUAUUUGAUGAUAAAUUCCUCCUACUCAUUCUGAAUGCUGA
rnacentral:snoRNA from 1 species